CAACAUUGUCCCCAGUGACCUAUAUUUUAAGUCUAAGUGGGAAUGGAAGUGUGUAAACACCUUGGAGAUAUGCAACAUGAUGCCACAUUAUGGGAGAAGGGGACACAGGUGAUCUGACCUCAGAAUAUGACUUUACAUGCCAGGACUGAAGAUGGUGAGCUGUGUCAGACAAGCAGGCCCCAGCAGGGAGGCCUUGGAAGGGAGUCCAAGCUACACUGGAAGGAGGGGGGACAGCAGGCAUUGAAGGAAGAAGGGUUUGAAGAUAUAAAGGCAAUAGGGGACAUGGAGAGAGGGUACAGGGAGACUAUUAUAGUAAGGGAAUGCAGAGAGGAGAGCGGAGGCUGUUACAGGUUUUGCUGGUUUUGCUGCCUGCUACAUCCUUAUUUGACAUGUGAAAGGAAUGCGAAGGUGCAAGACAACAGGAAUUAAUAAAUAAUCAGUGCUUUUCAAUUCCAAGGGUUUUAUAAACGUUAAUGAACCUUCAUGAGCUGUUAGAGAGGUAUUUAAGCCGUAUUCCAUUUUCACAGAUAAGGAGAUGAAAGCUCUGGCUCAAGUCCAAAGUUUUCAAAAGCAGAAACUACUUUUAAGAGCUCCCCUUGACAUUCAGCACCAGAACUCCAAAAGGAUUGAUUUCACAGUUGCCAUCACUGUCAGCUGUAUCCUGAUUACUUCUGCAAAGCUAAGUCUAAACAUGCACACUCAAAAGGAGCAUUAGCUUCUGGAAAUUCAGGCUCUGUUGCCUUGUUGUUUUCCCAAAGUAUAUAAGAGAAACUAGUUUAUGAGAGAAAUAGAUAUGUAAAAACAUUUACAUUUUUUACUACUGGACCAUGACAAGAAUGGAAACAAAGACUUUGCGGGCUUAAAACACUUACAGAAAGGGCAAAGUAAAACAAAGAUUUUAAAAAAAGACUUCCAAGUACACCCAUUCAUCUGUGCAAAUGGGAAGGGAAGCAGAGCAUGUUUCCAAAUCUUUCUACAUCUCCCAUAA